rnacentral:rRNA from 1 species
UACGUAGGGUGCGAGCGUUAAUCGGAAUUACUGGGCGUAAAGCGUGCGCAGGCGGUGAUGUAAGACAGAUGUGAAAUCCCCGGGCUCAACCUGGGAACUGCAUUUGUGACUGCAUCGCUGGAGUGCGGCAGAGGAGGAUGGAAUUCCGCGUGUAGCAGUGAAAUGCGUAGAUAUGCGGAGGAACACCGAUGGCGAAGGCAAUCCCCUGGGCCUGCACUGACGCUCAUGCACGAAAGCGUGGGGAGCAAACAGG